GCUGACGUGUCCGAGUGGUCCAAGGAGCCAGACUUAAGAUCUGGUAUGCGAAAGCAUGCGUGGGUUCAAACCCCACCGUCAGCA
rfam:Rhizophagus irregularis DAOM 181602 strain DAOM 197198 GLOINscaffold_6541_Cont6533, whole genome shotgun sequence.